AUUGCCCCUUGAGGCGUUGCAAUGCGACUGACCUGUCGUUUUUGUGUCAUAAGGUGGCAUAGAACAAAGGGCUAUGUUUACGCCUCGAACCCUCUUCAGUGGGUUUUCAGUGUCUUUAUAGUCCUACAAA
ensembl:snoRNA